UACAGAGGGUGCGAGCGUUUGUCCGGAAUCACUGGGCGUAAAGGGCGCGUAGGCGCUUUCAAGCGUGCGGUGAAAGCUCGGGGCUUAACUCCGAGUCUGCCGUGCGAACUGGGAGGCUUGAGUCUGGUAGAGGUCGAUGGAAUUCCGGGUGUAGCGGUGGAAUGCGUAGAGAUCCGGAAGAACACCGGUGGCGAAGCGGUCGACUGGGCCAGUACUGACGCUGGAGGCGACGGACAGCGUGGGGAGCAAACAGG
rnacentral:rRNA from 1 species